CUCCUCCCUCCCUCCCCCUCCCAAGAAACUUAUCUUGCUUUGUCAGUCGAAGUAUUGUUAGUAGUAUUUCUUCUGGUCUGGUGAACACAUACCCAAUGUUCGAAGUUCAUUUUCAUUUGGAAGACGAUAGGGGCUCGUAAACAAAUUCAUAAACUAUGCAUUUUUUGGUACUAAAAAAAUUGUCGUAGACUCAUCGUUUCUUAGAAUUAUCGUUUGUAUUGGAAAUCAUUUCUGUAGGUGAUGAAGACGAAACCCUGUAAAUUGUUGAUUGAAGUGUUCUGCAGUUCUACAGAUCAGUAUUCUGGGCUGUAUGGUGAGAAGCUAUAAUGUGUGUGUGUGUGUGUUAUUUGUACCAGGCCAAGGAAAUCGAUGUGAAUUUAGUGACUUGUUACCCACACAGAAUGGAGAGAGAAAAGGGUACAAUGCAACUUAUAUAAAUGCUGGGUUCUGUGAUUUGAGUGUGUGUGGGGACAAUGCCUUGAACCUUUUCAAAGAUAAGUCUCGGGGAGAAGGAGUUAAAAUUUUUUUUUUUUCUUUUUUUUAAGUAGUGGUCAAGAACAAUAUGGCCGUUGUUGUGCACUUUUGUCAUCUAUAAAAAAAACCUUGUGCUUUUAAAAAAAAAAAAAUACAGAGAUUCAUUCUGUGAAGUGUUUUUGUUAGUUUUUUUUAAAUUUUUUUUUAGUUUUUUUCUGUGAUGGCUAUUUACAGUGUCUAAGAGAGAAUAGCUGACCUUCCCAGUUACUGGUUUUCCUUGCAAAUGUAGAAAGAAAACUUCAUGGUGAAACCUUGUAUUAUAUUUCAAACAAAACGGGUAUCUAUAAUAACAGUAGUAAAGAGGGGGAAAAAAACUGAACUAUUGCGCAAGUCCUGGGUAGCCUACUAUGUUACGUGCUUCGAUUUCAAAGUCACUCUGAUGGAGAAAAUAUGGAUCCCUACGUGUUUCUGUUUCCAAGACCCGGUGGUAAAGUGAUGAUCCCUUGUAUCAAUUGCUACCUCAGUAUAUUUUAGAGACGAACGUUUUUCGAACCGCUCGUGAAGGGUUCUUCUUCAAAUGGACAAACAAAACAAAAAAUUGUAAGGUCAUACUGGCUUGCUGUACCUGCUGUCUUCACUGCCCACGACACACUUGUGUGUGUGUCUAGGGUGUGUUAACAUGAUCAAAUGCAAUCUCUUCAGAUUUUAUACUCUGUUCUUUGAAGUUCCGUUUCUGUUCGUGUGUCCCACCCACCCACCUACCCCUUCUCAAGUUUUUCUUUAGAACUAUGUACUAAGACUUGCAGAGUUUAAUUUCUACACGGGACAGUCACCUAUGAUGUAUUUGGACAAUGCAUUGUAAACUAAAUUGUUGAACAACUUUCGUUAAUGAUUAUGUUAUAGAAAUGUACAGGGAAGCCACUUUGAUUUAGCUACAUGUUCUUAUGUAAUCCAAUAGGGGGGCAAACCAUUUUACUUACGCCAUACUGCUUAUCGAAUGUGGAAGAACAGAUAGCAGGGUUUUGCUGCUUGUUAGGUCAUUUGAGGGACGGAGUUUUCCAUGUGCAUUUACUGAGAAUAUAUCUAAUUGAAUUGAAUACAGAAUUAAUGAGGUUAUUCGGGGUUUGAAAGGUAUAUAACGGGAGGAAAACCUCGCAAGAGAGAGUGGAAAGUAAGUUGGAAGAAAGAGAAUAUGAAUUGAGGUACAGUAAAAUAAAAAAUAAAAAUCCCAUCUUUUCUUCUGAGGGCCUUUGUUCCUUGUCGCUUUGGGUAUCAUGGCAGAGGUUUUCUGGGAGAGUUAUUGCCCAACUUGGCUGGGGGGUGGGGGGGGUCUGUGGUUGUUCAACUCCUUGUAGCUUGGUAAUUUAUACAACUUUUUUUUUUUUUAUACCUUAACAGAGAUAGUCCCACUUGGUAGUUUGUUUUGAAAGUUUUCUUCAGUUUCAUGUUAUUAAUGAUUUGGCCAGUUAAUUUUGAACCCGUAUAAUUGGAUAAACCCCUUUACUUUGUUUGGGCUGUAAAACAAAAAAAAAAGUGUAAAAUAACCCUUGAUGGUUAACCAAACCUCCCACAUUAUUAGUAGCCUUUUUCUUUUUACUUCAGUUUACAUGUGAAGGAUAUAAGCUUUUUCAGUAUUGUGCCAUAUCUUAAUUUUGCCUCUUGACUAGACACAGUGUGUGUUUAGGAACAAAUUAAAAACUUGAUGGAGUUGUAAGUUUAUUGUAAAAAUUCAUUGUCGAACCCCUGCAAGUUUAUUGUAAAAAUUCAUUGUCAACACCCCUGCAAGUUUAUUGUAACAAUUCAUUGUCGACACCGGCUUGCAAUCUAAGAAAAGGCAGGCGAAACAGUUGAGUGCACUAGCUAGCUGCCUGUAGGGAGGAGGACCUUUAUAAUCCUUGCUAAGCAUUCUUCAGAACUACAGUAUCUUCAGUUAUCCAUGGGGGCAUUUUUAGUUGUUUCUACCCUCGAGCCAACUGGCGUUUUGCGGAAGCCCAAAACCCUUGUUUUCUGACUCUGCAAAGAAGUGGUGCUGAGGCUUCUCCAUUCACCUGACAAUGAAAAGAUGGGGGAGCUGCUGUCGUCUCUCUCAAACGAUUUUUAUAAAUGCACCCUUCCUUUGGUGUGGUCUGACAGGAUCACUGAAGAAACCAACGUCCAAUUAUUACAUCCACUUGCAUUUUUCUACCGGUGGUCUAAAUGCUCUCGAGCGCAAUCCUGCUGCCGCAUUCUGUUCUUAUGGUGUGGUUUGGCAGGAUCACUAAAGAAACCGGGCGUUCAAACUUCGCCCUCUUGCAGGUCGAUCAUUGGUGCAAGUGCUUUCUGGCACGAAAUAACCUGGUGCCUGUUCUUUGGUGUGCUUUGGCAGGAUCGCAUUAGAAACCAGGCGUCUCAAUUAAAUCAUCUUGCAAUUCGACCCUUGGUUUAAGCGCUCGCUGCUGCUAUCAUAAUAAGGUUAGAAAACUAGACAGCUGCAGCAGACUCUUCAGUGCAGGACGACGUUGUCCAAGUCCUCUCGUUACAAAAGGCUACAGCAACAGAAGACUUCAGUGCAGGACGACGUUGUCCAAGUCCUCUCGGUACAAAAGGCUACAGCAACAGAAGACUUCAGUGCAGGACGACUCUCUCCAACUCCUCUCGUUGCAAAGGGGGCUCUCAGACUAAUUCUUGUUGGCCUGUAGAAUCUGUUGAUACUCUGGCGUGAGCGAAUAUAUCUGGUUGCAGAUAUGCACGGGGUUAUUUCCUCACUCCACCAGGAACUAGGAGAACUGCCAACUCAGCAAAUACCCAUUUACCUAAAAAAAAAAAAUUUAGAGGUUUUAACAUUCCAUAAAUAUAACACUGCAUAGAUGUUUACCUAUAUCUUUGAAGCAAUUUCGCAAUAAAAUUCCACAUUUUUAAGGAAUUAUGGCGUAAGAAAAAUGGUUAGGAUUGUAUUGGGAGAAAGAGAAAUUUUCAUUGUUGAAAAAAAAAUUGGAAAUUCACGUAAUAGUUUUUAGAUUUUGUUCAAUAAAACAACUUUAAGGGAUAUUUCAUUUAUAGUUUAAAACAUAACUACACGUUAACAAGUAUUACUAAUGAUCACCAAAGUCCUUUUAAGGUUAUAAUAAAUGUGGUUUGAUAUUCACAACUGAUUCGUAGAUAUGGCGGUGAACGAAACUAAAUGAAUUAUGUUAAAUAUAAUACAGUGACGACCGGGAAUAUUUCCAGCCUAUAUUAGUUUGGAAUUUCUGGUACGCGAGAGAGAGAAAUAAAGUCUAGUGCAUUAAGAGUGAUACGAACGUUGAUAAUUAUAAAGCCUAUCAUUCCUUUAAAAGUAAUAAGUGGUUGAUGGUGUGAUUCCCAAUAGUGUUCGCUAGGGAAAUAAUAUGCAAAGGCUUGUUGUAAUGUGUAUGUUCGUCUGUGCGAGUGAAAUACUAAGGUGGCAGUAAAUGUUUGAAUUGUAAGUGGUUUGGAGAAAUCCUGUUUACCGCCAUAUCUACUAAAACCAAUUCAAAUUUAAUUUAGAUUUUUACUUUAUCACGUCCCUGUCUUAAAUAAUAAUAAUGGCUGCCUGCUGCCGUCCUUGUAAUAAAUAACUCUUAGUACUGUAUUCUUAAUUAUAUUAUCUUUGGUUUACCCCUUCCAUUCUAUCUAUUGUGUGUCUUGUCCCCCCCCCCUUCCUUCUUUUUUAUCUUUCACACAUUCUUUCAUCCAUUUUAGAUCUCGUUAAGUGUGGGAAUACAAAAUAAAAAGCAACCAUGUGUACGUGGCCAGGGAUCAGUGUACACAUGAGUCCUAUGUAAAACUUUUCUUUUAAAUCAUAAAUGCCAACACGCACAGGACCUUUUUAAUAUUAUUAUUUUAUUUAUCGCGUUCUUUCACACCGACAGACUUCAAAAUAAAAUGAAAAAAAAAUGAGAGAAAAUGAAUGACGUAAAAAAAAAUUAUUGAAGAUAUUGUACAGUUAGUGUGAUGGUAAUAAAUACUUGUCUCUCUUUCUCCACGAUCAAUAGUGCAACACCACAAUGUGUAAUCAAUAAGAAAUUUGCAAUAAAAAUGAGAAGACGAA